GCCGAAGUGGCGGAACAGGCAGACGCGCUACGUUCAGGGCGUAGUGAGCUAUCGCUCGUGCGAGUUCAAAUCUCGCCUUCGGCACCA
rnacentral:tRNA from 1 species